rnacentral:rRNA from 1 species
AUUGAACGCUGGCGGCAGGCCUAACACAUGCAAGUCGAGCGGAGCGGCGGACGGGCGAGUAAUGCCUAGGAAUCUGCCUGGUAGUGGGGGAUAACGUCCGGAAAGGGGCGCUAAUACCGCAUACUUUCAGCUGAGCCUAGGACGGAUUAGUUAGGUGGUGGGGUAAAGGCCUACCAAGGCGACGAUCCGUAACUGGUCUGAGAGGAUGAACAGCCACACUGUAACUGUGACGCGGGCCAGACUCCUACGGGAGGCAGCAGUGGGGAAUAUUGCACAAUGGGCGCAAGCCCGAUGCAGCCAUGCCGCGUGUAUGAAGAAGGCCUGCGGGUUGUAAAGUACUUUCAGCGAGGAGGCGUUACCCGCAGAAGAAGCACCGGCUAACUCCGUGCCAGCAGCCGCGGUAAUAC